AUGGACGCCUCGUCGUCGUCCACCCCCGCGGCGCCGCCGCCGACGCACUCCGUGCUCGACACCAUCCAGAACAAGCUGAGCCCGGGCGUGCUCCUCAUCGUGGCCAUCCUGGCCAUGGUGUUCUUCAUCUUCGGCCUGCUCAACCUGCUGGUGCAGAACAUCCUGCGGCUGCGCCGCGCGCGGCGGCACCGCCUGCGCGUCGCCGCGGGCGACGUCGACGGCAGCAGCCCCACGGCGCUCCAGGGCCAGCUGCAGCAGCUGUUCCACCUCCACGACGCCGGCGUCGACCAGGCCUUCAUCGACGCGCUCCCCGUCUUCGUCUACCGCGCCAUCCUCGGCGCCCGCAAGGGCGGCGGCGACCCCUUCGACUGCGCCGUGUGCCUGUGCGAGUUCGCCAUGGACGACGCGCUCCGCCUGCUGCCCACCUGCGGCCACGCCUUCCACGUCCCCUGCAUCGACGCCUGGCUGCUCUCGCACUCCACUUGCCCGCUCUGCCGCGGCAGCGUCCUCGCCGCCGACCUCUCGCCCGCGUCCAGCCCGGUGGUGCUCGUCCUCGAGUCCGACGGCCGCGCCGACACGGCCGCGGAGGCGCUGGGCGGAAGGGACGGCAAUGAGAAUGAGGCCUACCCGAAGGCAGAGGAGGUCGUCGAGGUGAGGCUUGGCAAGCUCCGGUGCAUGGACGGCAAUGGCGGUUCAGGGCAUCUCGCCGCCGAUCAAGCCGCUAGCAGAGACGACCUUGGACGGAGGAGGUGCCUGUCCAUGGGAUCCUACGAGUACGUCAUGGACGACCACGCCGCGCUCCGCGUCGCCAUCAAGACGCCGGCCAAGAAGCGCCCGAGGUCGCGGCGCCGGCACGCGCUCUCGGAGUGCGACUUCGGGAGCGACGUCGCCAAGGGAGGAGCGUGGGAGGCGGCCGUGAAAGAGGCCGCGGCGCCGGAGCCCGCCGGAGCGCGCCGCGGCGACGACGCGAGGCUGAGCAACAAGGACAGCUUCUCCGUGUCCAAGAUCUGGAUGGUGCGCGGCGCCAAGAAGGAGGACGGCCGGGCACUGGCCGGCGCGAGGCGGUCCGUGUCGUUCCGGUGGCCGGCGAUGGCCGAGGCGAGCAGGAACGACGGCGCCGACGACCGGGAGCGCCGGGACGUGGAGUCGCAGUCGGGAAGCUUCGGCAGCAGCGGCGCCCCGUCCCUUGCGGAGGAGAGGCUGCCGCUCGCGCGGACGAGGACGGCGCCGCUCUGGGCCGCCGGCGGGUGGCAGGCGAACAGCAGCAGCGCCGGGAGCCAUUCCUGA
rnacentral:rRNA from 1 species